UCCUAAUGGUUGACCUCGGAUCAGGUAGGACUACCCGCUGAACUUAAGCAUAUC
rnacentral:rRNA from 1 species